CCAAUAGCGUAUAUUAAAGUUGUUGCAGUUAAAAAGCUCGUAGUUGAAUUUCGGGGUUCAUCCGUUGGUCGGGCUUUUUUGGUCUGUACCGGCGUGAUGGAUUCCUACCUUCUGAAUAACCAGCAUGUCAUUAAUUUGGUGCGCCGGGGAAGCAGGACUGUUACCUUGAAAAAAUUAGAGUGCUUAAAGCAGGCUAGCGCCUGAAUACAUUAGCAUGGAAAAAUGAAGUAGGACGGCAUGGUUCUAUUUUGUUGGUUUCUAGGAUCACCGUAAUGAUUAAUAGGGAUAGUUGGGGGCAUUAGUAUUCAAUUGUCAGAGGUGAAAUUCUUGGAUUUAUUGAAGACUAACUUCUGCGAAAGCAUUUGCCAAGGAUGUUUUCAUUAAUCAAGAACGAAAGUUAGGGGAUCGAAGACGAUCAGAUACCGUCGUAGUCUUAACCAUAAACUAUGCCGACUAGGGAUCGGACGAUGUUAAUUUUUUAAUGACUCGUUCGGCGCCUUACG
rnacentral:rRNA from 1 species